rnacentral:lncRNA from 10 species
AACAACGGUGAAACCCCGUCUCUACUAAAAUACAAAAAAUUAGCCAGGCGUGGCAGCAUGCGCCUGUAGUCCCAGCUACUCAGGAGGCUGAGGCAGGAGAAUUGCUUGAACCCGGGAAGCAGAGGUUACAGUGAGCCGAGAUCACACCACUGCACUCCAGCCUGGGCAACAGAGUGAGACUCCGUCUCUAAAAAAAAAAAACUAAUUUCUUUCUCUUUUUUUCUUAUUUAUUAUUACUUUUUUUUUUCUAGAGACAUGGUCUUACUCUGUAGCCUAGUCUGGAGUGCAGUGGUGCAAUCAUAGUUCACUGCAACCUCAAAUUCUUGGGUUCAAGGGACCCUCCAGCCUCAGCCUCUUGAGUAGCUGGGACUAUAGGCAUGUGUCACCAUGCCUGGCUCAGGACUCAUUUAUUGAAUGACACUGUAUACCAGACCUGUCCCAAGCACAUGCCAAUGCAGUUCCUAUUAUGAAAGCUUACAGUCCAGACUUGACAAAUUCCCAAAUGACUACCCUGGAAAAUUUCAACCCCCAUACUGGGCCUCAGUUUCUACGUUUGUGAAAUGAGCAAUUUAAACUCAAUGUUUCCCCUAGUGUAGAUGAGAUUAUUUUUGGUAAAAUAUUCGGGCACCAUUAAAAAGCACUGUGGAAAGGAAUCUCUCUUUCAUUUUUUUUUUAAGUAGAGAUGGGGGGGUCUCACGAUGUUGCCCAGGCUGGUCUCAAACUCCUGGCCUCAAGUGAUCCUCCCAUCCCAGCCUCCCAAAGUGCUGGGAUUAGAGCCGUGAGCUACCACACCCAGCCAGUCACCCCUUUUCCUUUCUUUCUUUUCUCUUCUUUCUUUCUUUCUUUUUCUUUCUGUCUUUCUCUCUCUCUCUCUCUCUCUUUCUUUCUUUCUUCUUUCUUUUUUUUUCGAGAUGGAGUUUGGCUCCCAUUGCCCAGGCUGGAGUGCAAUGGUGCAAUCUUGGCUCACUGCAACCUCUGCCUCCUGGGUUCAAGCGACACUCCUGCCUCAGCCUCCCGAGUAGCUGGGAUUACAGGCACCACCACCACCCCUGGCUAAUUUUUUUGUAUUUUUAGUAGAGAUGGGGUUUCACCAUGUUGGCCAGGCUGGUCUCGAACUCCUGACCUCAGGUGAUCCACCCAUCUCAGCCUCCCAAAGUGCUGGGAUUACAGGCUUGAGCCACCACGCCCGGCCUCAGUCACCCCUUUUUCAAUCCUCUUCUAAUUCUACCUCUAGUAGGAAGUCUCAGUGUGGUACAAUCUCCUUUUCUGUUUUUGAUUUUUUUGAGUCAGGGUCUUACUCUCUUGCCCAGGCUGGAGUGCAGUGGCACAAUCGUGGCUCACUGCAGCCUCGACCUCCUAGGUUCAAGUGAUCUUCCCACCUCAGCCUCCCAAGUAGCUGAGACCCCAGGCAGGUGCCAUUAUGCCCUGCUAAUUUUUUUUUUUUUUUUGUAGAGACAAGGGUCUCCCUAUGUUGCCCAGGCUCAUCUCAAACUCCUGACCUCAAAAUAUUCUCCCACCUCAGCCUCCCAAAGUGCUGGGAUUACAGGCAUGAGCCACCACCCCCAGCCCAAUCUCCUUUAUGACAAAGGACAAGCAGAUCUGGACCCUAAAGCCUGUACAGGCAACAGUCUCUAGCCAGCAUGUAAUCACAUUGUGUUGUUUCACUGUCUUUAUUUUUACUUCUAGCUCCCAUUUAUGGCAAGAGGUAUAGGUUUUCUGCUUAUGUAUUGACAUAAGGUUUCCUUUUGAAAUAAUAUUUAUAUAGCUAAAAAUAAGUGAACCGAUGCAAGAAAAAUGUUAAGUAAAUAAUAUAGAUGGUACAGAUAUAAAAAUGCUAAAUAAUAUAGACGAUAUGGCAAAAAUCAUAAAGAUAGAACAGGAACAACUCCAGUUAGGCAAACACAGAUCUAUUUCACUCGGCCCAUUUUGCAGGCAUGAAACCUAAGGCCCAGAGCAGGUAAUAGAAUCUCGCUGACUCCGACAUAGCAAGGAAAUUGCAGAGGAUGGCUGAUUCAGAAUUCAUUAGACAGUCAUGAACUUCAGGAGGUUCCAAGCCAGCAAGCAGGUCUGCCGGUCAGGUAUGCAGAUCCUGAAUCCACAAGUGAUUGUAUUGCACCUUCCUUUCCACUUCGUCCCUGCUGGACAAGAUUCAUUCAUUCAACAAAUAUUUAUGCUCCCUGCUGCAGUACAUAUACUAAAAUUGGAAUAACACAAAGAUUAGCAUGGCCCCUGUGCAAGGAUGACAUGCAAAUUCAUGAAGUGUUUCAUAUUAAAAAAAAAAACAAAACAAAAAAAACAGUCCAGGCACAGUGGCUCAUCCCUAUAAUCCCAGCAAUUUGGGAGGCCAAGGCAGAAGGAUCAUUUGAGCCCAGAAGUUCGAGACCAGCCUGGGCAACAUGGUGAAACCGCAUUUCUACAAAAAAUGCAAAAAUUAGCUGGGAGGCCGGGUGCAGUGGCUCAUGCCUGUAAUCCCAGCACUUUGGGAGGCUGCGGCAGGCAGAUCACCUGAGGUCAGGAGUUCGAGACCAGCCUGGCCAACAUGGUGAAACCCCAUCUCUACUAAAAGUACAAAAAUUAGCUGGUCAUGGUGGUGCGUGCCUGUAGUCCCAGUUACUCUUGAGGCUGAGGCACGAGAAUCGCUUGAACCCAAGAGGUAGAGGUUGCAGUGAGCUGAGAUCGCGCCACUGCACUCCAGCCUGAGAGACAGAGCAACAGACUCGGUCUCAAAAAAAAAAAUUAGCUGGGUAUGGUGGCACAUGCCUGUAGUCCUGGCUACUUGGGAGGCUGAGGCCGGAGGAGCACUUCAGCCCAGGAGUUCCAGGCUGCAGUGAGCCAUGAUAGCACCACUGCACUCCAGCCUGGGAGACAGAACAAGAUCCUAUCUUAAAAAAAAAAAAUACAUAUAUAUAUAUAUAUAUAUAUAUAUAUAUAUAUAUAUAUAUGUAUGUAUACAAAAAUUAGCCAGACUUGGUGGCGGGUGCCUAUAAUCCCAGCUACUGGGGAGGCUGAGGCAGGAGAAUCACUUGAACCAGGGGACGGAGGUUGCAGUGAGCCGAGAUUGCGCCACUGCACUCCAGGUUGAGCGACAGAGCGAGACUCUGUCUCAGAAAAAACAAAAACCAAAAAAUCCCAGAGAAAUAUUUGUUGACAUCCUGCCGUUUACCAGGCACUGUGCUAAUUCUUAGGCAUGUAAUGGUGAGACACAAACAGCAACAGUCUCUCUUCUCAGGACUUUGUAAUCCAGCGGGGACGGGGACAAAACAUCAGUUAACACAUACACAAAAGCAAGAUAAUUACAGAUUGUAAUCAGUGCUACAAAAAAAAAAAAAAAAAAAACAGCUUGUGACAGGCACAGAAUAACCACAGAACUACUUAUUUAACUAGUUAGUCUUGAUGGUAUUUAUUUGUUAAUUUACUUUGACCAGGUAUAAUGUGGUUCAAAAUCCAAAAGGUACAAAAGAUUUCUGGUAAAAAUCUUUCUUCCACUCUUCCCUAGACACCCAGCAUCUUUCCCUAGAGACAACAAGAGUUAACUGUUUCUUGUGUAUGCUUUCAGAAGUAGUUGAAUCAUGUACAAGCAAAGGGCUAUAUAUCUCCUGAAUGGUAACAUAGAGGCCAGGUGCAGUGGCUUAUGCUUGUAAUCCCAGUAUUUGGGAGGCUGAGGUGGGAGUCAUUGGAAGCUAGAAGUUUGAGACUGGCCUGGACAACAUAGCAAGACCUUGUCUCUACAAAAUUUUUAGGCCAGGUGCAGUGGCUCACGCCUGUAAACCCAGCAAUUUGGGAUGCUGAGGCAGGUGGAUUACCUGAAGUCAGGAGUUCAAGACCAGUCUGGCCAAUAUGGCGAGACCCCAUCUCUACUAAAAAUACAAAAAUUAGCUGGUGUGGUGGCACGUGCCUGUAAUCCCAGCUACUUGGGAGGCUGAGGCAUGAGAAUCGCUUGAACCCGGGAGGCAGAGGUUGCAGUGAGCCAAGAUUGCACCACUGCACUCCAGCCUGGGCGACAGAGAGAGACUCUGUUUCAAAAAAAUAGAAAUAAAAAUGAAAAAUAAAAAUAGAAAAAUUAGCCAGGCAUGAUAGUGCAUGCCUGUAAUCCCAGCUACUUGGGAAGCUGAGGCAGGAGAAUCGCUAGAACCCAGGAGGCAGAGGUUGCGGUGAGCUGAGAUCACGCCACUGCUCUCCAGCCUGGGCAACAGAGUAAGACUCCAUCUCAAAUAAAUAAAUAAAUAAAAAGGUAACAUGUAUGCAAUACGUACUUCCCACCUUACUUUUUCACCUACCAGCACAUCUUAGACAUUUCUUCACUUUCUUUAGGUAAGUAGAUAGAAAAGGUAGCCUUUUGUCAAGCACAGAAUUCAGGCUGGGAGUGGGGUACAAUCCAGACAAUUACAAGUACCAAGAGUUUGAUAUGUGCAGAAAGAGGAAGACGCCAGUAAACCUGAGCGUGAUAAACAAGGCUCAAGAAGCAACGAGAAUGCCAGACAGACAGGCAGGGUCUGGGCAUGCAGGUUCUUGUCAGUCAUAAAAGAAGUUUGCCGUUUAUUCUAAUUGCAGUAGCCACUGGAUGUGUUUUUAACAGAGUGAUAUGAUCUGACUUGCAUUUUCCAACGAUAACCCCUGUGACUGUGUGGGGAGUUGGGUCAAGACUGGGAGAGGAUACCAGAUGAGAAGUGGCUGCGGUAUUCUAGGCGAGAGGGGAUAUGAGCUUGGGCUAAGACGAUGUAGGAGAAAGGAUGGGGGUUCAGGGUAUAUGUUGAAGCUAGACAAGAAAAACUUCAAAACAGAUUAGAUGUGGACAGCAAGAGAAAGUAGAGAAUUGAACCCCUGGGAAGUGGACAUUUUUAGGUUUUGUGGGUGACUUCAUGUCUAUAACUUGCUUUAUGAUACUUCAAUAUAAUCAGUUUGUUUGUUUUUGUUUUUUGAGACAGUCUCGUCUCACUGUGUCACCCAGGCUGGAGUACAGUGGUGGGAUAAUGGCUCACUGCAGCCUCGAUCUCUCUGGCUCAAUCUAUCCUCCCACCUCAGCCUCCUAAGUAGCCGGGACUACUGGCGCACACCACCAAACCUGGCUACUUUUGUAUUUUUUGUAGAGACGGGGUUUUGGCCAGGCAUGGUGGCUCAUACCUGUAAUCCUAGCACUUUUGGAGGACAAGGCAGGCGGAUCGCUUGAGCUCAGAAAUUCAAGACCAGCCUGGGCAACAUAAUGAGACUCCAUCUCUACUAAAAAUACCAAAAAAUAGCCAGCAUGGUGGUGCACACCUGUAGUCCCAGCUACUCGGGAG